UACGUAGGUUGCGAGCGUUGUCCGGAUUUACUGGGCGUAAAGCGCACGCAGGCGGUUCCGAAAGUCGAAUGUGAAAGCUCCCGGCCCAACUGGGAGAGGCCGUUCGAAACUUCGGGACUUGAAGGCGGGAGAGGCAGAUGGAAUUUCCGGUGUAGCGGUAAAAUGCGUAGAUACCGGAAGGAACACCAGUGGCGAAAGCGAUCUGCUGGCCCGCCCUUGACGCUCAGGUGCGAAAGCUAGGGGAGCGACCGGGAUUAGAUACCCCGUUAGUCCUAGCUGUAAACAAUGGGCACUAGGUGUUGUCGGUAUCGACCCCGGCAGUGCCGAAGCUAACGCAUUAAGUGCCCCGCCUGGGGAGUACGACCGCAAGGUUAAA
rnacentral:rRNA from 1 species